CCUGGGAAUACUCGGUUUAUCACCGACAUUUCCUCUUCAGAGUAAUCUACCAUGAAAUACGCUGGAUUCCACUCGUUGUUCCAACCUCUUAUAACUUGAAGAGCCUCCGCAAUAGCGUACGAUGUUUCACUUUGCAGGACAAAAGAACCAACCACUUGAUAGCUUACAUUGGUUUCUACCACAAGAAAAAACAAAGCGAGGCUGUAUUUUGUCGUUUUGUAAGUGGCAUCUAGAAGGUAAUCAAAGACUCUGCUGAAUAUUUAGCAAGCGGGCGAAAGAAGAAAGACUCGUCGGGACACCUCAGUUUCCAGUCUUCGAUUUUCUUUUGAAGAUUUUCUUGGUCAAAUUUUGAAAAUCUUUCUUUGAUGACUGCCUUGUAAAUGUGGCUGCGUAUAGUUUGUUUGGAAGGAUAAAAUCUCCGAUUGGUUUUAGCGGGUGCCUUUGUUGCUUUGUACAGGUCUUGCUCCACGUAGAUUUUAAGAUGCCUCCUAACUUCUUUAACUGAGCAAGCCCCAGCAACAACCAAUUCUUGGAUCUUGGAGACAAGCAUCUUAUCAAUUCCUUGAUGAAGACCUCCAGCCUACAUAUAAAGGAGCCGAUUAUAAAACGUAAGGUUUAAAAACAAUAUAGCAAGACAUUGACUUGCACCGUACGACAACUAGGACUAAAUAUAUCCUUACGCUUCCUAUAGGGUGAGUUUUGUGCUCAGAUAGGCAAGGCAACUGGAUAUCGAUCCACCUUUCUCCAUUGGCAUUUCCACCUUUUUGUAAGCAUUCCCUAAGUUUUUUCGACAUCGAUUUUUGUCGCCAAACCGUUUGCUCUUUAAUCUAAAGGCGCGUAAAUUUAUCAAAAAACCUGUGUGAGUAAAGUUUCAAGGCAAAUUGAUUUGGACACCUCGAGACAUUUUUGUUGUUUACACCUGACAGAUCGAGUAAUGCAUACGAAUAAUCGCUGUUAUUUAAAAUUACCCUAAAGUCUGGAAAUCUGAUGUAUUCUCUCAUGUGAACUUGUGCUGAACAGUUCAAUUUUCUUGUUCCUUGAACCAUGUUUCUGUGCUUCUUAAACGAGUGGUCGCUAGAAUUUGACUAAAAUAUAUAAACAUGUUGGUAAAUAAUUACACCUAAAAGGAAAGGUAGCUGAAGAAAUUCAUGAAGAAGAAAGAAACCAAGAUUACAUGACAAUGUUAAAAUACAAUAAAACUCAAAGUUUCCUUCAAAGCUCUUCACACUUGAAGUUUAAUUGCAACGUACUAUAAGGUUGGCAACGUCGUUUCACUUUUAUUUACUUUUAUUAAAUCUGUAGUAUUGCAUUAGCAGAUGAAUAAUAUCUAUUACCGUUCUGUUUUUCUUCUUUUGGCUUGAAUACCUAUCUACCCCAUGACGACAAUCGUAGACCCUAUGGUUCACUUGAACGAACGGUAUAUUGUCAAAUGGAAGCUGGCCAUCUUCCCACCAAACCUUGUGAUUGGCACUUGUGAGAUUUAACUUUUUUUCGAUUAAAAAUAGAAUAAGUGAUUUCAUUUAGUUCAAAUUGAACCAUUAUAUUCAACAUUGCUGUGUGA